rnacentral:rRNA from 1 species
UACGGAGGGUGCAAGCGUUAUCCGGAUUUACUGGGUUUAAAGGGUGCGUAGGUGGGUUUGUAAGUCAGUGGUGAAAUCUCCGAGCUUAACUCGGAAACUGGCAUUGAUACUGUAGGGCUUGAGUAAAGUUGAAGUUGGCGGAAUUGACGGUGUAGCGGUGAAAUGCUUAGAUAUCGUCAAGAACACCUAUUGCGAAGGCAGCUAACUAAGCUUUAACUGACGCUGAGACGCGAAAGCGUGGGGAGCAAACAGG